rnacentral:tRNA from 1 species
AGGGUAAUAGUUAAUAAAUAACAAUUAAUUUGCAUUUAAAAAUAAUUGAUAUGUCAAUUUACCUUG